rnacentral:lncRNA from 1 species
AUCCGCAGCUUCAUGAGGUGCCUUGGCUCUGCCCAGGAAAUCGGAAACCUAGAAAGCAGAUUGGAGCAAGCAUCCACACAAGGAGUGUCCCACAAUUAUAGUGGAAUGAUGAACAAGGGGUAGGACAGCAUGGUGAUUCUAUGGACAAUCCUUCGAGGAAUGCCAUCUGUCUCACAGUGGUAGAAACACCAUUAUCUGUGAACUGUCCUGAUGGGAAGCCCAGAGUCUCAGGCAGGCCCCACUCACAGGUAGACCUGAACAGCCGAGUCAUGCUCUGGUCUCCACACAUCCUUACUGUGAGUUAUACAGGAACCCCAGGCUUCACUGGAAGCAGAGCAGCAAAGAAGGAGAGAAGAGAAGAAGCAGCUUAACAUCAGUGAGAAGCAGCUUGACUUCAGAGGGACGGCUUGAUGGUGGAAUCUCAGAGAGAGUUCAGCUGGGGACGGCCAGACUCCAGGAGAAGAUCACAUUCCCACUCCAUUCCCUUUCCAGCUCUCCAUCCCACUGACAGCCACUUUCAUCAGCAAUAAAAUCUCCUGAAUUUACCAUCUU